UUCCCUUGGGAGGGAGACCUGCAGGCUGUGGACCGAGUGGUCUGCAGGAACCAACAUCCCAAAGGGAAGUCUCUGCCUCCUCUGCCACUCUUUCUUUGCUAUAUAUUUAACUUUUUCUAUCUAUGGCUCCUGCAUCAUCAUUUCCCCAGGCCACUUCAUCUGGUUGUUGUGGAAAUGAGGACAAGGUGGCAGACAACAAACAAGGGCCCCCAACAGGGCAAAUAAACCCAGCAAGGUCGAGCGUGACUCAGAAGGCAGCAAGGCUCCCGUUUCUCCCCCUCACCUGGCUUUCUGUAAGACAAGGUUUAGCUGCUCCUCAAGGGCAGACCUGGGGGCUGCAACAUCAUACUCUGCAGGGGAUUGUUGCCAGCUGACUUCACUUUAAUACACAGCAUGUGCUAGAGAGGGUUCACCUGAGCCAGGCACAAAUCCCAAGUCCCCUGUCGACCACCCCUGAACCAGUCUGACUCAACCAGGUUGCAGGCUUUCCCGGAGAUCCCUUCAGUCACAGCCCCCUGCCUUAAUUUAACCUGGUUAUUUAUACCUUUUCCUGUGUGUGUUUAAUUAUAGCAAAACCUGGCAAUACCGCUGUGCUUAACGGUCUGUUGGCAUUUCCAUUAUGAGCCCAGACUGGAAGGGAUUAUAUAGCCUGAGUGUUUGAACUGAGCCUCAGACAGAGACUUGGCAUAGACUUGCAACCCAAAUACAGAGAUUUCCAAUUGGCUAAUGGCAGUUUUGAAAAGGGAACAUUUUUCACAUGCUUAGGUCCUUCCAUUUGCUUAAGCUGCCUUCCUCUGUUUUAAACUCAGCGAGCAAGGAGUCGUAAUUCAGCCUGUUACAGCAGUGACUCAUGUUCAUUGCACAGUGAUGCCAUAACCAGCCAAGGCAAGGCCGUCUGCCUUAAGAGGAAUUACACACAGAGAGAUGACUGGGGAAAGUCAGCUCUUUCACUCACCGGAGUCACACCAUCUGUGCAUCCUAAUUGCAGCUGCCAUGGCCAGCAUGAGUUGUCUGACCACGUCUCAGGCUCUGCAGUGGCGAUACCUAAUGUCACCAACAUGUGCUGGACUUCAUGAGCAGCCAGUAGCACUUACAGGGCAUCAGUUGGUUCAUCCUCAAGUAGAUGUAUCAAAUAGGAUUGCUUGGUCAAGUCCUAAAAAUGUUUUUUUUCUUCCCAUCAGCUCUGUGGGGAGUUGUGGUAAUAGGCUCAGGCAGCAGGGAUAGUCUGCUGGGACCAGUCACACUUGCUGGGAAUCUAGAGGAGCUCCCUCCUCUAGAGGGAUGUGGUCCAUCCAUCUAUCUCCACAAGUUUUUUCUUCUAAUGGAAGACAGAACAAGAGCAGGCAAAAAACUAUGUCUUCUUUUAAUGCAUAGGAGUCUUUGACACAGAAGAACCAAGUGAUUUACCCAUGGUCUCCCAGUAGGUCAAAGAGAGCCUUUCCUGGGAGCAAACCUGGAUCUGCACUGCACACUGAUGCCUCUGCAGGGCCUCUCCUCCUUCUGAACGCAUUAAGUAAGCAAGUUGAUACAACAUGCAAGAGAAUAUCGUGUUUUGGGAAGAGUUAUAAGUCAAGCAAAGAAAACUAGCUAGUAAAUGAAGAGAAGCCUGUAGCAAAGACCAUGUGUUGCAAACAGCCUUUCUCUCCAGGAAGCUUGCUUUGGACCUUGGUGGAAGGUCUUCUGUGCCUGUGUCCGUGGUAGAGAUGGUCCAUCCAUUGCUGUCUCCCAUCUCUUGCCUGUUGGAACCUGAGAGGAAGGAGGUGAAUACCAUACCCUGUACUCAGCUGGAGGAGAAGCAUCAAGGCCCAAGGCUGCUGCAUUUGCAGCUCAUACAUAGAGGGAUGCUAUGCAAGGUGCCUUGGCUUCUGCUCCCCUGGAGCUGGGGCUGCACUUCAUUCCCCAUCUCAGGGGUACCGGAGCUGGGUGAGCUCACCCAGGCUGUGCUAGGCAGCUGCACCCCCUGAUCUGGGAAGGGCUGGUGGGGACUGGACAGAGGAGACAGCUCUGUUCCCAUCAGGGCUGUCACCAUGGGAACUUUAGGGACCGAGGCCAUUUACGGCUGGUUGUAAACCCUGACUCUGACAGCAGAGCCUUUCUUCGCCUUUUCCUCUGGACUUGGCCCUGACUGUCUCAGAGAAAGCAGGCUCAAAUUCUACCUCCGGCUGGCUCUGCACACACAUCCCCUGGCACUGAGCGCUGGCCCGCUGCGUGGGAGCUGCUCGAGCUCAGCUAAGUGUCCUGGCUGUCUCUCCCAGAGAAAGUGGAGCAGACGCCUGAGGUUGCUGAGCAUCACAGGUCUGACAGUUCUGCAGACACCUGCGGAUAUGCAGGGAAAGACAAAUGGUGGGGUAGCAGUGCCAUUGCCCCUUGGAGGAGCUCUCAGAUCAAUUUGUGAGGCAAAUGAUCCCUGGUAAAGUCUAGCUCCUCUCAGCAGAUUCCCAGCUUUGAGGCUGGAAGGGCUCAUCUUUCGGCUUGGCCAAAACUGGAAGUGCUGUGGUGAAAAGAUGGAGAAACAGCUGGCAGGAGCCAGCCCGUGGAGGAGAAGUUGAGGGCAGAAGGAUUUCAGCAGCCAAAUCUCAUCUGGUCCUUCUUCUGAUGCCAAAUUCUCCUGUGAAAGCCACGUGGUUUGUGCAGUUCCAGAGGACUACCCCGGGCCUGCCCAGCCUUCCUCUAGAGAGAGACAGGUUAAAACACAGACCUGGUUAUCGAUGCUGCUCUGUCUCCUGGGAGCUAAAGUCCAGGUAGCUCAUGGCUGUCUUGUCCUUUUGCAGGCUCAGCACCCUAGCUGGACCACUGAUCCCCCUGUGUGCCACAAUGCCCUGCUAACAAAAUGUGGUGGCGUGACCAUGGUGCUGAAUGGGAGUCUCCAUGGCAGGGUAGUGUCUGGCAGGGCAGGACUUGGGGACCAGGAGGCAGCCCUUGUUCUUCACAGUGAAGGCCUGGGGGAUGGAGGGCAUUUUGCCAGACUGCCCAGCUUUCAGGAGUUCAGGUAUGAGACCAGGAAGAGGAGAUGUACUUCCUAAGAGAAAGUGACUGGAUUUGUUCUGGGCUUCCUGUGAGAUUCUGGGAGAAAAAAUGAAAAGGCUUUGCUGCUUUAUGAGGAAGGUGCCCAGGAAGUCUCCAGCGGUGACAAUGUGCAGGGGAACCAUGAGACAUCCCAAUGGGGAGAGUCCCACAUGUCAGGAGGUGUUUGGAGACACCAUAAUUGCCAGAAGGGCUUGUGGGUCAGGAGGUGAACUGAAGGACAUUUUUGAGAACUGCAGUGGCAUCCUUCUCUGUCCAGUGGGGUGCUGGAGACUUGUGUGAGUCAGUCUGAAGCUUUCCUCUGCAUAUCACCGGAGGCUGGAAGCCUUUGCCAAAUGAUCAGUGCGCCCCACAAAAAUCUGUGAUGGGUCUUGGCACUGAUCACACAGGGUCUUCUGAGGAUGAGCAGGACUGUGGGAAAAGUGAUGGAUCAGCCAAAAUGGUGACCCAGGGCAGAAAGCAACCAAGUGGACUCUGACUCAAGGAGCUGCUGCUGGAUGGACUUCAACUUUGUCUUGAUGUGGAGGAGAGCAGGAAUGCUGUCAAUGCCAGGCAUCAGUCUUUCUGUUGCGGACUCCAGGCAUUAUUGGUUUGGGCCCAUUUCCCCCAUGUUGUUUGCAAACUAAGUGGCUCUACUGAAGUGACCCUUUGGGCAGGUGCCUUGCUGUGCCACCCUCCCUCUUUGGCUGGAUGGCUCCUUGCAUCUCCCUGCUGUGCAAAGCUGCUGUCUCCAGAACCGUGUGAACAGCAGGCUCUGACCCUGCUGCCUCACAGCCUCCAGUGCAAAGGUGGCCCCAGGGCACUUCCCAUGGAUUUUCCACCCACAGGUGCCACCACCCUUCCGGAAGGAAGCAGUCAGCCUUGUUUUGAGCAGCUGCUUUGCAAAUACAUCCUCUCUAGCACGCAGCUGCCUGACCCAGGACAAAGCAACCUGUGGCCUCAAGGAGUGAAACACAGCGUUGAAAACUGAAAGUGCUGCACACAGAGCAAGUGAUGCUCUCCACUAGCUCCUGUGACAACCACCUUUCUGCUUAUCAGUCUUUGUCAGGAACAAGAAGGAUCUCUAUAGUGUCUUUUCCUCCCUGGUGCUGCCUUGGCACCUGCUGCAGAGCAGAAAUUCGAGGAGAUGGAUGAAGACCUUGGUCUGCUUUAUGGAAAUACUUCUAGUGUUUUUAGGUCAGGUAAAGGUCUUUCAUUAACAAAUCCUACCUGCUGACCCCAAAGCACGUGAGAUCCUCUCAGAUUUUUUGCCAGCAUUCCUCGUACUUUUGUGUUGCUUCAAACUGGAAACAAUGCUCUUGGAAAAGCUUCUAGCAGCUCCGGAGUGGGUCCCUGGAAACUCAGUGAGCUAGCUGCAAUGCAGAGCUCAGAAGUGCUCUUUCCACAUGUGCUACCUCUUGGAAGCCAAGGAAGGAUUCCUAGGGCCAGGAAGAGAGAGUGUAUGCCACCAUGUGGCAGCAGAUUCCCAAGUGUGGAGCUCAGGAGAGCUUCAGGCAGGCCCAGCUCGUAGCUCAGGCUGGAGGAGGGCCUGGCCCUCGCAGGCAGAACUUCAGCAAGGAGUUAUGACUUUCUGUGCGUGGACAGGGAGGUGCUGUACAGGCACCCUCUCCCAUCUGCAAAGGCAGGUAAGAUUUAUUCUGCAAUUGAGCAGCCCUGGAAUUUACCAUGGAAGACAAUAUUCAUCUGAGAAUUGUGUUCCAGCACCAAGACACAUUAUUCACAGUGACAGCCUGCAGAGCUGAAAAUAAACAAAGAACAAAGUCCAAUCAAGUAGCUUUGGACAGAAACCACCCUGCCUCAAGGCAGAAGACAACUUCUAAGCAAGAGAGACAACUUCUGAGGAAGAAACUCUUUUGGAAGCGCAUUAUCCCGCUGAUGCAAAGCUUCUUGCCUUUCUCUCAGAGGCAACCAAAAAUUGGCCUGCCAGAAAACUUUGGGCGAGAUGGAGGCUUAAUUUGAUCCAGACCGUUCUUAUCUCCUAUAUUUUCACUGAAAAAAAAAAAGAAAAAGAAAAGUUUCUCAUCUUUCUGGCAAUGAAGAGAGCCCUAAAUAUCUGAAGUUAACAUAAAAAGCCCCUGCAUUGUUUGUAGCCUGAAUUUAUGCUACAACGAGAACUCUGAGUUGUUAGUCAUAUCAACAGGCUCUUAACUCUAAACUCAGCAAUGGCCACUCAAGCCUUAGCUUCCCUCACUGUUGUAUGCUGCCUGAGGAUCUGUUUAUCCCCUAGGCUCUGUACUGCCCUCCUAGACAGCAAAAUACCUAUUUCUGCCUCCUCAACAACUCUUCCAGGGUGUUGCACAGUAACUGCUAUCCUGUAUUCUAUAAAUACAGCACUGUCGGCUUAAAACACAUUUGAAUAUAGAGAGGAGUAGCAUGGGGACAACUGCCUAGUUGGGUUACUUGGGUACUCAUUCUCUUAAGUGCUACACUGUAAUUUGAAGGUGGGAAUGAAGCUAUUGACAAGUCUGCGGUCUUUUGCUGUAGACAUCCAGGUAUUCCAAAGGGCCCUGUUCCCAAAAAACUUGGACUAAACUUGUCCUGAGCACCUGGAUCCAUGCAAGCUACUGCUAUAUCAGAUGAAAUGUGUCUAAGAGGCUAGACCAUGCUGGCAGACCUCCAGGCCUUGUGCUGAUUUGCCCUGGUGGAGACUCCAACCCAUUGCUGCUGUCUGGGAAAACCAGAUCCAUGUGUCCUUGAGAAGAGCACAAAGAAGAUCAGAGUGUGGACUGGGGAAAAAUGGACCAGACAUACUCCUUCUGCUUUCCUCUGUGCUUGUGCAGGGUAGAGCAAAGCAUUGACUCAGGAGGCAGGGCGAGCCUGUGGAGGCACAGAGGAGGAGGCAGAGGAGGAGGAGGAGGAGGAGGAGGAGGAGGAAGGACAUGGAAUCUUCAGUAUCAGGAUGGAAAUGUGGAACCUCAACUUUCAAAGGUCAUCCAGUUGGGCUCACACUGGCUGGAGAAACAGGUCUUCAUACACAGCAACAAACACUCAAAACAAAUAAAAACAUAAUUUAAAAUAU